rnacentral:rRNA from 1 species
GUUUACUAAGUGGUAGGAGAGCGUUCUAUUUGCGUCGAAGGUAUACCGGUAAGGAGUGCUGGAGCGAAUAGAAGUGAGCAUGCAGGCAUGAGUAGCGAUAAUUAAUGUGAGAAUCAUUAACGCCGUAAACCCAAGGUUUCCUACGCGAUGCUCGUCAUCGUAGGGUUAGUCGGGUCCUAAGUCGAGUCCGAAAGGGGUAGACGAUGGCAAAUUGGUUAAUAUUCCAAUACCAACAUUAGUGUGCGAUGGAAGGACGCUUAGGGCUAAGGGGGCUAGCGGAUGGAAGUGCUAGUCUAAGGUCGUAGGAGGUUGUACAGGCAAAUCCGUAUAACAAUACUCCGAGAACUGAAAGGCUUUUUGAAGUCUUCGGAUGGAUAGAAGAACCCCUGAUGCUGUCGAGCCAAGAAAAGUUUCUAAGUUUAGCUAAUGUUGCCCGUACCGUAAACCGACACAGGUGGGUGGGAUGAGUAUUCUAAGGCGCGUGGAAGAACUCUCUUUAAGGAACUCUGCAAAAUAGCACCGUAUCUUCGGUAUAAGGUGUGGUUAGCUUUGUAUUAGGAUUUACUCCGAAAGCAAGGAAACUUACAACAAAGAGUCCCUCCCGACUGUUUACCAAAAACACAGCACUCUGCUAACUCGUAAGAGGAUGUAUAGGGUGUGACGCCUGCCCGGUGCUCGAAGGUUAAUUGAUGGGGUUAGCAUUAGCGAAGCUCUUGAUCGAAGCCCGAGUAAACGGCGGCCGUAACUAUAACGGUCCUAAGGUAGCGAAAUUCCUUGUCGGUUAAAUACCGACCUGCAUGAAUGGCGUAACGAGAUGGGAGCUGUCUCAAAGAGGGAUCCAGUGAAAUUGUAGUGGAGGUGAAAAUUCCUCCUACCCGCGGCAAGACGGAAAGACCCCGUGGACCUUUACUACAGCUUGACACUGCUACUUGGAUAAGAAUGUGCAGGAUAGGUGGGAGGCUUUGAGUAUAUGACGCCAGUUGUAUAUGAGCCAUUGUUGAGAUACCACUCUUUCUUAUUUGGGUAGCUAACCAGCUUGAGUUAUCCUCAAGUGGGACAAUGUCUGGUGGGUAGUUUGACUGGGGCGGUCGCCUCCCAAAUAAUAACGGAGGCUUACAAAGGUUGGCUCAGAACGGUUGGAAAUCGUUCGUAGAGUAUAAAGGUAUAAGCCAGCUUAACUGCAAGACAUACAAGUCAAGCAGAGACGAAAGUCGGUCUUAGUGAUCCGGUGGUUCUGUGUGGAAGGGCCAUCGCUCAAAGGAUAAAAGGUACCCCGGGGAUAACAGGCUGAUCUCCCCCAAGAGCUCACAUCGACGGGGAGGUUUGGCACCUCGAUGUCGGCUCAUCGCAUCCUGGGGCUGGAGCAGGUCCCAAGGGUAUGGCUGUUCGCCAUUUAAAGCGGUACGCGAGCUGGGUUCAGAACGUCGUGAGACAGUUCGGUCCCUAUCUGCCGUGGGCGUAAGAAGAUUGAAGAGAUUUGACCCUAGUACGAGAGGACCGGGUUGAACAAACCACUGGUGUAGCUGUUGUUCUGCCAAGAGCAUCGCAGCGUAGCUAAGUUUGGAAAGGAUAAACGCUGAAAGCAUCUAAGCGUGAAGCCAACUCUAAGAUGAAUCUUCUCUAAGCUCUCUAGAAGACUACUAGUUUGAUAGGCUGGGUGUGUAAUGGAUGAAAGUCCUUUAGCUGACCAGUACUAAUAGAGCGUUUGGCUUAUCUUUAAUAAAGCAU